UCGUGAUAAAAUUUAAGAAAUAGUAAUAACUUAGUCUAAUUGGUUGAAAAAGACUUAAAAAAACAGUAAAUUAUUAAAAAAAUUCAAACUGGAAAAAAUGCAAAAAUAGAAAAAAAAGAAAAAGAAAAAAAGAAGAAGCUAAAAAUGGCGAAAAUGAGGAAAACAAAAAAAACAUUUCAAAAAAAAUCAAUUUGGAAAAAAGAUGCGAAAAUAGAAAGAAAAAUAACCCAAAAAAAAAUGGGAAAAAAGCAAGAAAUUGCCAAAAUAAAGGCUUAUUUUGUCAGCACCCAAAUUGCCAAAAUGGGACAAAAGUUGCACUCAAUAUUAAUUAUUUUCUCUUGAUUCUGUUUGGAGAAAAACCGUGGGCCC
rnacentral:lncRNA from 1 species